UGCAGUCGAGCGAACAGAUAAGGAGCUUGCUCCUUUGACGUUAGCGGCGGACGGGUGAGUAACACGUGGAUAACCUACCUAUAAGACUGGGAUAACUUCGGGAAACCGGAGCUAAUACCGGAUAACAUAUUGAACCGCAUGGUUCAAUAGUGAAAGGCGGCUUUGCUGUCACUUAUAGAUGGAUCCGCGCCGUAUUAGCUAGUUGGUAAGGUAACGGCUUACCAAGGCAACGAUACGUAGCCGACCUGAGAGGGUGAUCGGCCACACUGGAACUGAGACACGGUCCAGACUCCUACGGGAGGCAGCAGUAGGGAAUCUUCCGCAAUGGGCGAAAGCCUGACGGAGCAACGCCGCGUGAGUGAUGAAGGUCUUCGGAUCGUAAAACUCUGUUAUCAGGGAAGAACAAAUGUGUAAGUAACUGUGCACAUCUUGACGGUACCUGAUCAGAAAGCCACGGCUAACUACGUGCCAGCAGCCGCGGUAAUACGUAGGUGGCAAGCGUUAUCCGGAAUUAUUGGGCGUAAAGCGCGCGUAGGCGGUUUUUUAAGUCUGAUGUGAAAGCCCACGGCUCAACCGUGGAGGGUCAUUGGAAACUGGAAAACUUGAGUGCAGAAGAGGAAAGUGGAAUUCCAUGUGUAGCGGUGAAAUGCGCAGAGAUAUGGAGGAACACCAGUGGCGAAGGCGACUUUCUGGUCUGUAACUGACGCUGAUGUGCGAAAGCGUGGGGAUCAAACAGGAUUAGAUACCCUGGUAGUCCACGCCGUAAACGAUGAGUGCUAAGUGUUAGGGGGUUUCCGCCCCUUAGUGCUGCAGCUAACGCAUUAAGCACUCCGCCUGGGGAGUACGACCGCAAGGUUGAAACUC
rnacentral:rRNA from 1 species